rnacentral:rRNA from 1 species
AGGCUGCAACUCGCCUGCACGAAGCCGGAGUUGCUAGUAAUCGCGGAUCAGAAUGCCGCGGUGAAUGCGUUCCCGGGUCUUGUACACACCGCCCGUCACACCAUGGAAGUUGGGGGUGCCCAAAGCCGGCAGGGAAAUAUGCUGUCUAAGGCAAAACCAAUGACUGGGGGUGAAGUCGUAACAAGGUAAC